AUGAACGCUAGCGGCAGGCCUAACACAUGCAAGUCGCGGGGGAAGUUACUUUCGGGUAACUGAGCCCGGCGUACGGGUGCGUAACGCGUAUACAAUCUGCCUUUCACUGGGGGAUAGCCCGAAGAAAUUUGGAUUAAUACCCCAUAGUAUAGUAGUGUGGCAUCACACAACUAUUAAAGCUUAGGUGGUGAAAGAUGAGUAUGCGUUCUAUUAGCUAGUUGGAGAGGUAACGGCUCCCCAAGGCUAUGAUAGAUAGGGGUUCUGAGAGGGAUGUCCCCCACACUGGUACUGAGAUACGGACCAGACUCCUACGGGAGGCAGCAGUGAGGAAUAUUGGACAAUGGUCGGAAGACUGAUCCAGCCAUGCCGCGUGCAGGAUGAAGGUCUUAUGGAUUGUAAACUGCUUUUGUAAGGGAAGAAUAAGGACUACGUGUAGUUUGAUGACGGUACCUUAUGAAUAAGCAUCGGCUAACUCCGUG
rnacentral:rRNA from 1 species